rnacentral:rRNA from 1 species
UACGUAGGGUGCGAGCGUUGCCCGGAUUUAUUGGGCGUAAAGGGCGCGUAGGCGGCCACGCACGUCCGUUGUCGAAAUCGCCCGGCUCAACUGGGCGGGGUCAGCGGAUACGGCGCGGCUGGAGCAAGCUAGGGGGCAAUGGGAAUUCCCGGUGUAGUGGUGGAAUGCGUAGAUAUCGGGAGGAACACCAGUGGCGAAGGCGGUUGCCUGGAGCUUGCUGACGCUGAUGCGCGAAAGCGUGGGGAGCGAGUCCGG